rnacentral:rRNA from 1 species
UACGAAGGGGGCUAGCGUUGCUCGGAAUCACUGGGCGUAAAGGGCGCGUAGGCGGCCAUUCAAGUCGGGGGUGAAAGCCUGUGGCUCAACCACAGAAUUGCCUUCGAUACUGUUUGGCUUGAGACCGGAAGAGGUCAGUGGAACUGCGAGUGUAGAGGUGAAAUUCGAUAGAUAUUCGCAAGAACACCAGUGGCGAAGGCGGCUGACUGGUCCGGUUCUGACGCUGAGGCGGCGAAAAGCGUGGGGAGCAAACAGG